UAACACAAAAACUAAACACGCAAGAGCCUAUACUUCAGUACCUCACUUCUUUACUGAGAUUAUAUGUGUAGCGCCAUGUUUUUGUGUUAGUUUAGUUU